rnacentral:rRNA from 1 species
UACGUAGGGGGCAAGCGUUGUCCGGAAUCAUUGGGCGUAAAGAGCGUGUAGGCGGCCCGGUAAGUCCGCUGUAAAAGUCAAAGGCUCAACCUUUGAAUGUCAGUGGAUACUGCCGGGCUAGAGUCCGGAAGAGGCGAGUGGAACUCCUGGUGUAGCGGUGGAAUGCGCAGAUAUCAGGAAGAACACCAACGGCGAAGGCAGCUCGCUGGGACGGUACUGACGCUGGAGACGCGAAAGCGUGGGGAGCGAACAGG